ACCUUGGAGCACAGCUUCGUCAGUACAUCGACGGCGUUCUCGAAGGAGCAUGCGCCCAGAAUCAACUACGACCCGCAACCACAGCGUGGGCAUCCCAUAUAGGGGUAAGUCCGGCUCAACAGCCCAUGACAAAUUCCUCUUAAUUAUCACACAACAAAAUCAUACUCGGCCCUAGGACACUUUGCAUUUCACUCAAUGCUUCCACUUAAAAUAGUGAUCCCGGCCAUUUUUCUUCAUAUUAAAAACAUCUGAGAAAGUAGUCGUGUGAGUGGGUACACAAUCGAAUUCGAACCAGAAAAACUAACACCAUUCUUUUUCAAACCCCAUUGCUUGAUAUAAUACUUAAAAUCUAUUUUCGGUGUCAAACUCGACACUCGGGAUUUUCUGAAGAAACUAUAUACUUCUCAUAAUCACUACUCAGAUUCACAAUUCAGCAAUCAAUUGCACAAAUCAUCACUCGAUUUGUAAUAUCCACUCAUCAAAUUAAUAAUCUAAAUACACAGCAGCGAUCAGCGCGAAAUUCUGAGAAUUU
rnacentral:lncRNA from 1 species